GCAAAGUUCACAGCCCCUUUGGGCAUCGUGUCCAGGGUCCCCUAGGAGGUGGGUCUUCCAGCGUCCACGACAUGUGAGCCCAGUCCCGACUCCUUCGUGCCUUAGGGUUGGUAGUUAGAUGGGAGAGACCUCAGCGAUCACCUGAUAAUAAUACUUGUUUUAUAGUUAUAUUUAGUGAAAAUUCACAAGUGUCAGGAUUGAUGCCUUUUACUCAUUUUGUUCACCAUUUUGUUCAUGAAUUCCACCCAAUAUCUACCUGUGUAGUUGGAGUUAUUAAAUUCAUUGUUAUAUGGCAGAAUUUCCCUUUCGUAAGGCCUGACGCACACCAACUCCUGCUUUUGGGAUGAGUGAGAUUCACACGAAGCUGGGAUAACAAAAGUUUGCCUUCUGAGAAAACAAGAUGGAACCCAGUGACUGGCCACCAUGGACACAUGCAAGGGAGAAGGAGAAGUCCCCAGUAGGAAAAGGUGACACGCCUGUCCCCCUUUGUCUUCUGCCAUGAGUGGAAACUUCCUGAGGCCUCACCAGAAGCUGAGCAGAUGCUGGUACCAAACUUGUACAGCCU
rnacentral:lncRNA from 1 species